rnacentral:snoRNA from 1 species
AACCCAUGGUGUGGACACUGGUUUGUGUAGCUCCUAAAUCUCUCCCAUGGUUCACCAAAACUCUCAUUGCUGUGUUGAGUGAAGCUGGAGAUUUGGUUUCUCAGUUU